UGCAGUCGAGCGGUACAUUUCUAGCUUGCUAGAAGAUGACGAGCGGCGGACGGGUGAGUAAUACUUGGGGAUCUGCCUGAUGGAGGGGGACAACCACUGGAAACGGUGGCUAAUACCGCAUGACGCCUACGGGCCAAAGUGUGGGACCUUCGGGCCACACGCCAUCAGAUGAACCCAAGCGAGAUUAGCUAGUUGGUGAGGUAACGGCUCACCAAGGCGACGAUCUCUAGCUGGUCUGAGAGGAUGAUCAGCCACACUGGGACUGAGACACGGCCCAGACUCCUACGGGAGGCAGCAGUGGGGAAUAUUGGACAAUGGGCGCAAGCCUGAUCCAGCCAUGCCGCGUGUGUGAAGAAGGCCUUAGGGUUGUAAAGCACUUUCAGUGGUGAGGAAGGCGUUGUAGUUAAUAGCUGCAACGAUUGACGUUAGCCACAGAAGAAGCACCGGCUAACUCCGUGCCAGCAGCCGCGGUAAUACGGAGGGUGCGAGCGUUAAUCGGAAUUACUGGGCGUAAAGCGCACGUAGGCGGCUUGUUAAGCAAGAUGUGAAAGCCCAGGGCUCAACCUUGGAAUUGCAUUUUGAACUGGCAAGCUAGAGUUUUGAAGAGGGUGGUAGAAUUUCCAGUGUAGCGGUGAAAUGCGUAGAUAUUGGAAGGAAUACCAGUGGCGAAGGCGGCCACCUGGUCAAAAACUGACGCUGAGGAGCG
rnacentral:rRNA from 1 species